rnacentral:tRNA from 1 species
CCCCCUAUUGUCUAGUGGUUCAGGACAUCUCUCUUUUAAGGAGGCAGCGGGGAUUCGACUUCUCGUGGGGUAG